rnacentral:rRNA from 1 species
CCCUUAGAUGUUCUGGGCCGCACACGCGCUACACUGAAGGAGGCAGCGUGUACUCCUGGAUCGAAAGAUUUGGGUAACCCGCGAAUCUCCUUCGUGCUAGGGAUUGAGGUUUGCAAUUAUCCUUCAUGAACGAGGAAUUCCCAGUAAGUGCAAGUCAUAAGCUUGCGCCGACUACGUCCCUGCCCUUUGUACACACCGCCCGUCGCUACUACCGAUUGAAUGAUUUAGUGAGGACUUCGGACUGGGACCGAUGCGGCUUUCGGGCUGCGUCGGUAUUCUGGAAAGAUGUCCAAACUGUAUCAUUUAGAGGAAGUAAAAGUCGUAACA